rnacentral:RNase_P_RNA from 3 species
GGAGUCAGCCGGACAGCCGCUGUGUCGAAUGAUGCAGAGGAAAGUCCGGGCUCCGACGGGCUGGGUGCCAGGUAACGCCUGGGGGGCGCAAGCCUACGGAAAGUGCCACAGAAAACAUACCGCCAUCGGCUCAGGCUGUUGGUAAGGGUGAAAUGGUGCGGUAAGAGCGCACCGCAACGCUGGUAACAGCGCUGGCAGGGUAAACCCCACCCGGAGCAAGACCAAAUAGAGGGACGGAUGUGCCAUGGUGCAUAUCGAGUGCGGCCCGCACUGUCCCUGGGUAGGUUGCUUGAGGUGUGUGGUGACGCACAUCCCAGAUGAAUGGCUGUCCUCGACAGAACCCGGCUUACAGGCUGGCUCCCAAC